CCUACGGGGGACAGCAGUGGGGAAUAUUGCGCAAUGGGCGAAAGCCUGACGCAGCGACGCCGCGUGAGGGAUGAAGGUUUUCGGAUUGUAAACUCCUUUUGUUAGAGAAGAUAAUGACGGUAUCUAACGAAUAAGCACCGGCUAACUCCGUGCCAGCAGCCGCGGUAAUACGGAGGGUGCAAGCGUUACUCGGAAUCACUGGGCGGAAAGAGCGCGUAGGCGGGAUGGCAAGUCAGAUGUGAAAUCCUAUGGCUUAACCAUAGAACUGCAUUUGAAACUGUUAUUCUAGAGUAUGGGAGAGGGAGGUAGAAUUCUUGGUGUAGGGGUAAAAUCCGUAGAGAUCAAGAGGAAUACUCAUUGCGAAGGCGACCUGCUAGAACAUAACUGACGCUGAGGCGCGAAAGCGUGGGGAGCAAACAGGAUUAGAUACCCCGGUAGUC
rnacentral:rRNA from 1 species